rnacentral:rRNA from 1 species
CCUACGGGUGGCUGCAGUGGGGAAUAUUGCACAAUGGGCGCAAGCCUGAUGCAGCCAUGCCGCGUGUGUGAAGAAGGCCUUCGGGUUGUAAAGCACUUUCAGCGGGGAGGAAGGCGGUGAGGUUAAUAACCUCAUCGAUUGACGUUACCCGCAGAAGAAGCACCGGCUAACUCCGUGCCAGCAGCCGCGGUAAUACGGAGGGUGCAAGCGUUAAUCGGAAUUACUGGGCGUAAAGCGCACGCAGGCGGUCUGUCAAGUCGGAUGUCAAAUCCCCGGGCUCAACCUGGGAACUGCAUUCGAAACUGGCGGGCUAGAGUCUUGUAGAGGGGGGUAGAAUUCCAGGUGUAGCGGUGAAAUGCGUAGAGAUCUGGAGGAAUACCGGUGGCGAAGGCGGCCCCCUGGACAAAGACUGACGCUCAGGUGCGAAAGCGUGGGGAGCAAACAGGAUUAGAUACCCCUGUAGUC